CGGAGAAGCUGACGCACGGCUCAAAGUGCGCAAGUUUUAUUUCAGUUUUCGCUUUUGGUUUUCCGUUCUGGUUUGGGGAAGGUCGAAUCACAGGGCGAAGCCGUUUCAUUCUAAGUGACCUGGGAUUCAGGACUGCUGCUUUUUACAGGAUUUCCUAUGAGUGUGGGCAGCGUAUAUCCGCCAAACGGGAUACAUGGUGGAAACCCGCAUCAAGGAGCAUAGGAGGCAUAUCCAUUGGGUUACCCGGAAAAGUCGGCAGUAGCAGAACACCGCACUCGCAAUAGCCAUAAGACUGACUUUGAUGGCCUCAUGCCCACUGUCCAUGGACCACAUGUAAUAUGAAAGGGGCUGCUCUUCACACUGAGGUUGCACCCAGUGCAGAAGAACCAUUGGGAAAGUAUGCUGCAAAUAGGAGAGCCCGUACACACACUUAGCUAAAUAACCGUUGAAUGCUUAGCUUUGUAGUUGUGUAUUUUGGAAAAACAUAAUUAAAUACCAACUGAGUUUAAGGUGUUUCUGAAUGUUUAGUGUCAUCAUUUUUGCAGGUUGGGGUGGCUUAGAUGAGUACUUGUUUGACUUAGAUGGUUGAAUGUUUUACUGUUUCCCUGUCAAUACACAGUUAAUGUGCUUCUUUGUAAUCAGUGUCUUGUGUCUCACUAACAAAUCCGUGCAACUGCUACCCCAUAACGCCACUCAAUCCACCUGAGCCCUCCAGAACCUAGGAGGGCGAUGUCUAGUGCCCAUGGUUCACAUCAUCAUGGAUGGGAUUUACAGUACCUGAUCAGCUGGGAAGGGUACAGCCUGGAGGAGGAGGUCUGGGAUGCCUACCAGUUUCAUCACCCAAUCGGAGAGGUCCACCAGAACCAUCUGGGUCAACCUGAAUCAUCAGGUGAAGCUGUGGGAGAGAGGGAUCCUGUCUUGUGCAGGCAGACGCCUCCCAGUCGCUACCCAACAAACAGAAGUACUUGCCACCCAUUUCCAACUCAUCACCUUCAGUCCAUUGCAACCCCUCUCUCAUCCACAAUCCUUCUUCACUCAUACGAACCAGCCAUCUCAACCAGUUGUUCAUAGCCUCAACUGCCUUGUUGUGUUAAGCAUGUCUUCCUUGCUUUGUGAUUCCUCAUGGCUUGAUAUUUUGCAGUUUAUUAGUAAAAUAUCAUUUACUGCUAAAUGAUCUCUGCUGCUUUGCAUUUGGAUCAAGCCUCCACUACAUAUCUGGACAGUUACAUUGUAAUGUGUAGAUUUCAAAGGACACUAAAUAAUUUAAAGGCAUAAUCUGAUGCAAAUACAUUUAUUUGGUUUAGUUUCUUGAGCAGAUUUCAGAAUUUUACUCAAAAUAAUAUUAGGAUAGUUCUCUUAUCAGUCUAUUGUAGGUUCUCUAUUCUGGUGCUAGCAUGAACUGAUAGCAGAUAAAGAGAUGUCAUCAAUGGCAAAAUUUGAGCCAAGUGACAAUAUGUGGCCAAUAGUUCUUCUUAGUGUUAUUUCUUAUUCAUAAUAUCAUCCCAUUCUGAUGAUGCAUUGAAAACUAAAAUGCAAAAGUUAUGCCUAAUAAUAAACUAGGUAUGAAAGUGUAUUUUCC